rnacentral:rRNA from 1 species
UACGUAGGGGGCAAGCGUUGUCCGGAUUAUUGGGCGUAAAGAGCGUGUAGGCGGCCAGACAAGUCCGUUGUGAAAACUAGAGGCUUAACCUCUAGACGUCGAUGGAAACUGUUUGGCUAGAGUCCGGAAGAGGAGAAUGGAAUUCCUGGUGUAGGCGGUGAAAUGCGCAGAUAUCAGGAAGAACACCCGUGGCUAAGGCGGUUCUCUAGUACGGUACUGACGCUGAGACGCGAAAGCGUGGGGAGCGAACAGG